GGUACCGUCAGACCUGCCAGGUAUUGUUCUGUCAGGUUGUUCUUCCCUCUCCCACAGGGCUUUACGAUCCGAAGACCUUCAUCACCCACACGGCGUCGCUGCGUCAGGCUUUCGCCCAUUGCGCAAUAUUCCC
rnacentral:rRNA from 1 species